rnacentral:rRNA from 1 species
UACGAAGGGGGCUAGCGUUGCUCGGAAUCACUGGGCGUAAAGGGCGCGUAGGCGGCCAUUCAAGUCGGGGGUGAAAGCCCAGGGCUCAACCCUGGAAUUGCCUUCGAUACUGUUUGGCUAGAGACCGGAAGAGGUAAGUGGAACUGCGAGUGUAGAGGUGAAAUUCGUAGAUAUUCGCAAGAACACCAGUGGCGAAGGCGGCUCACUGGCCCGGUACUGACGCUGAGGUGCGAAAGCGUGGGGAGCAAACAGG